GCAUAACGCGAAGAACCUUACCAAGGCUUGACAUGCAUCUCUAAGCGCGUGAAAGCGCGUGACCCUUCGGGGGAUUUGCACAGGUGCUGCAUGGCCGUCGUCAGCUCGUGUCGUGAGAUGUUGGGUUAAGUCCCGCAACGAGCGCAACCCUUGUGACUAGUUGCCAGCACGUUAUGGUGGGAACUCUAGUCAGACUGCCCAGAUCAACUGGGAGGAAGGUGGGGACGACGUCAGGUCAGUAUGGCCCUUACGCCUAGGGCUGCACACGUACUACAAUGCCCAGCACAAUGAGAACCGAGACCGCGAGGUGGAGGAAAUCUAAAAAACUGGGCCCAGUUCGGAUUGGAGGCUGCAACUCGCCUCCAUGAAGUUGGAAUCGCUAGUAAUGGCGCAUCAUCUACGGCGCCGUGAAUACGUUCCCGGGUCUUGUACACACCG
rnacentral:rRNA from 1 species